rnacentral:rRNA from 1 species
AUACGGAGGGGGUUAGCGUUGUUCGGAAUUACUGGGCGUAAAGCGCACGUAGGCGGAUUGGAAAGUUGGGGGUGAAAUCCCAGGGCUCAACCCUGGAACUGCCUCCAAAACUAACAGUCUAGAGUUCGAGAGAGGUGAGUGGAAUUCCAAGUGUAGAGGUGAAAUUCGUAGAUAUUUGGAGGAACACCAGUGGCGAAGGCGGCUCACUGGCUCGAUACUGACGCUGAGGUGCGAAAGCGAGGGGAGCAAACAGGAUUAGAAACCCCGGUAGUCC